rnacentral:sRNA from 2 species
UCGGGCGACACGCCGAAUCCUGCCCCGGCCGACGGAAGUCAAACCAAUGGCAGGAGCGGGGGAACCAAUUUUUGCGGGCGUCGCUCAUCGGACGUCCUUGGGGUGAAGCCGCGGAACGCGGCCGGGCAGUCCCAGCCCGAACCCGACAGCUCACCUCGCAGGCGUGGGGAAGGACAUCA